AGUCCGGCUAGUAUGGUAAUACGGAAUUGGAAACAGCGAGUAGCGUAAUACGGGAUUUUUUAUUUCAACGAUUGAUACAGCCUGUAUUUUGUUAAAAGCAUUAAACAGUGUCGGACUGUUGCAAAUGCCCGCAAAAAUCAUAAAGAAGUACAGAAGACUGGAGGUGGGGAGGCUGUACAGGGACUUAGAUCUACUACUGUACAAGAAAAGAAAAUCCUGAAAAUGACAGUUUCACAGCAUAACAAACAGAGUCACAAGCUGUUGCAGAUAAAGAGGAGGUAGUAUCCAAACCACUGAAAAAAAAGAAGAAGACCAGUGUUGAAUCAUGCCAAUGUUCUGCUGAGCUGCUGGACAUUCAGGAAAACUUCUUGUGGAGGCUGUUCGCAGUAAUGAAUUGAACCAGGAGAGAAACCUCUUCCUUGAAAAAAUAAGUUAAAGUCUUUCAGUUCUGGUUACUAAGCAGUAUUCAGAUAAUUUGAUGUUUGAAUUGUAAGCUUAUAAUGAAUUGUGU